UACGUAGGGACCAAGCGUUGUUCGGAUUUACUGGGCGUAAAGGGCGCGUAGGCGGCGCGGUAAGUCACUUGUGAAAUCUCUGAGCUUAACUCAGAACGGCCAAGUGAUACUGCAGUGCUAGAGUGUGGAAGGGGCAAUCGGAAUUCUUGGUGUAGCGGUGAAAUGCGUAGAUAUCGGAAGGAACAUCAGUGGCGAAAGCGGCUUCCUGGACCAGUACCGACGUCAGGCACGAAAGCGUGGGGAGCAAACAGGGA
rnacentral:rRNA from 1 species